rnacentral:rRNA from 1 species
ACGCACGCUGGCGGCGUGCUUAACACAUGCAAGUCGAACGGAAAGGCCCCCUUGUGGGGUACUCGAGUGGCGAACGGGUGAGUAACACGUGAGUAACCUACCCUUGACUUUGGGAUAACUUCAGGAAACUGGGGCUAAUACCGGAUAGGAGCUCCUGCUGCAUGGUGGGGGUUGGAAAGUUUCGGCGGUUGGGGAUGGACUCGCGGCUUAUCAGCUUGUUGGUGGGGUAGUGGCUCACCAAGGCUUUGACGGGUAGCCGGCCUGAGAGGGUGACCGGCCACAUUGGGACUGAGAUACGGCCCAGACUCCUACGGGAGGCAGCAGUGGGGAAUAUUGCACAAUGGGCGGAAGCCUGAUGCAGCAACGCCGCGUGCGGGAUGACGGCCUUCGGGUUGUAAACCGCUUUCGCCUGUGGCGAAGCGUGAGUGACGGUAAUGGGUAAAGAAGCACCGGCUGACUACGUG